UUGUUUGUUUGUUUUUCCCGUGGAUUCCCUUCUGCUUUAUUUUGAUUAACAUUAGCAUGGACUGUCUUUCUCUAACCUUUGUCCUUUAGCCUAUUUGAAGGUUUAUAUUUAAAGUCAGUUUCUUUUAGACACAUAUGGUUGUAUUCUUUCUGUCAUCCAUUCUGACCAUCUCUUCUUUUCUCUUUUUUUUCCUCCCAGAUUAUUACUGUGUUACGAUUCUCCUGCCACAGACUCUCAAGUUGCUGGGAUUAUAGGAGAGAAAGUAGAAGAGAGAAUGCUGACUGACGAGGGGCAGAGGAAGCCACAGCGUCCACUAGAGAAGAUUUACAUGGCAGAAUGCUGGACAGGCUCUCGACAUGGAGGAAAGUGGGGAUAAGAUGUAAAACUGAGGUCAUGACUAGAAUUUAUGCCUACAGAGAGAGAAGAAAAAGAAGCAGAUGCACUUAGCCAAGCACAAACAAGUUGAGCAUAUUGGAUCUUUCCACUUCUUCUGUUUUAUAAUUGCCCAUAUUUUCCUUAUUUCUUUUCACUAGUGACAAUAGUAUUACAUGUUUGUGAUAACAAAAAUAUUCUGUAUUUGUGAUACAUAUCAAAGGAGAAUUAUUUAAGAAGUCAAAACUGUUCAUACACACCAGGAUGACACUACCAUGGUGUGGUCCCAUUAUUUCUGCACAUAAAAAUAUCACAUAUAUUAUCUAUACUUCUAUGCAGUUAUAUAUUUUUUUCACAAAAAUUGGAUCAUAUAAUAUCCAAUAACCAGAAUUUUACUUUUAUAGUUUUAUGUAAGAGAAUAGACAUAUCACCACAUUACUAAGUAUAGAUAUCUUUCAAUGUUUAAACCUAUUUCAUUUUAAAUUAGUAUGAUAUAGGACU